CUUUCACGCCGGGAUCCGGGUCCCGGUGCUUCUCGGUUCAUUCCCAGCUGGGUCCGGGCCCGGCCAGACUGGGUGGAAAUCUGGCUGACCUUGGUGGUCUGUCUUGGCCAGCUGGAGCAAAGGGAUGCCAGGGGACGGGUCUCGGUGCAGUGACUGCCAUUAGCUUGGGGCCGCAGAAAGUUUCUCCCCUUUCUCGGGCUCCUGCCAGGCCCUUGGCUUUCAGAGCCAGGCCCGAUUUCUAGAUAACAUUUAAGUUUGCAGAAAAGGGGAUGCCAAGUCACGGUGGUCACGGCUGUGGGAUGCAGCCUCUGAGAUUUGUAUUAAUUUUUGUGAGCCGGGGAAAGGCCUUGCUGCUUUCUCCGCCAGGACUGAUGUGUCUUCCCAAGAUGAAAGUGCCUGAUGGAGUCUCGCUCUGUUGCCCAGGCUGGAGCACAGUAGUGCAAUCUCGGCUCACUAAAAGCUCCGCCUCCCGGGUUCAUGCCAUUCUCCUGCCUCAGCCUCCCGAGUAGCUGGGACUACAGGCACCCGCCACCACGCCUGGCUAAUUUUUUUUUUCAGUGGAGACGGCAUUUCACCGUGUUAGCCAGGAUUGUUUCGAUCUCCUGACCUCGUGAUCCGCCCACCUUGGCCUCCCAAAGUGCUGGGAUUACAGACGUGAGCCACCGCGCCCAGCCAAUGAACUAUUAUUGAAUGAAUACCUCAUUUUCCCUCUUGGCAUCACACCUGAGAUUGCCUGAUUUGUACGUUGUCCUCAGAGCCAGCAUUUAUUACAUUGCAUUUGAGAGUCGCUAAGACAAGGCAUUUUCCACACGCUUUUCCUGUUUUUUAAGUACCUUCCAACCUUGAUUUGCUGAUAACAGCAGUUGGCUUGUAUUUUAUGCUGGCCUUUGCAAUGAUACAGCAAAUGGAAUCUGGAAUCUCCGGAAUCGAUGUCAAUAUGAAUAGUUUCUAAGUGGAACUGCCAUACAAUGAGGAAGUUAUCACUUACCCACAAGAGGUCUGUGACUUUGGAAUCAAGUAUAUAUAAGAAGUACUUUUUACACUGUAAUGUGCUACUCAAAUGUUUUGUUGUUAUUAUUAUAUCAGAAAACAACCCACAGGACCUUAUAAAUAAUAAUGAUUCCAGUCAUGUUCAUCCUAUGUGACAAAGCAAUGGUUCUCAACAUUUUUGGUCAGCUAAUCACUUUGGCAAAAUAUCUCAAAACUUCGUAUCUCAAUUACCCAUACUACUCAGUCCAAGAGUUUUGCCAGAAUAAAUAGGAAGAGUAGAGCUACUUUUAAUUUCUGGUUUCCAUUAGCCUUCUGCUGGGAAAGAGAAAAGAGAUAGAGUAGAAAAGAGUUUCAAGUACAAGGGUCCAUGACCUCCAAAGUCAACUACGUUGAGAUUCUUGAUGGUGAAGCAACAAGACAAGAAGCCAGGCUAAACAUUGGCGACCCAGAAAAGGAGAUAGAAAGGCCAGAGAAUGCAAGACCUGCCACCCCGUGCCUGCUUUCACCUCCUCAUCUGUACUUGCUGGUGUUUCUUUUUUUUUUUUUUUUUUGAGAUGGAGUCUCGCAUUGUCGCCCAGGCUGAAGUGCACUGGUGUGAUCUCGGCUCACUGCAAGCUCCGCCUCCUGGGUUCACGCCAUUCUCCUGCCUCAGCCUCCCGAGUAGCUGGGACUACAGGCAUGAGCCACCACGCCUGGCUAAUUUUUGUACUUUUAGUAGAGGCAG
rnacentral:lncRNA from 1 species